CUCAGCCUGGGGCACGCCCUUCCUGAGCGCCGCCUGUUCUCUUGGCCAGCUCCUCACGCUCAGACAGAGCUGGCUGUUGUCUCCUGAGGGUGUUGGUGCUGGGAGCCACCACCAACAUCACCCCUGUGGCGAAGUGCGGGGUUCCGGGCAGCCUGGAGCAUUCCUGGGCUUUUUUCCCUUGUGAGCCUCCCCACAGCAGGCAGAGGACGGCCACAGGAGCCAAGUCUGUGGUAGUGGUGGCCUUGGUGGCCUGUCCUGCCCACUUUUUGUGGCUGUUCUGGGUCCAGCCGUGCAGUUGAUGUCUGCUGGGCAUUACACCAGUCCCUGGGAGUGUCCGUGUCAGGUGGAACCCACUGCCUCGCUGCCAGCACCUGCAGGGUAAAAGGACCCAUCUGGAUGCUCCUCCUCUGCCGGGUGAAGGAGACCUGGCAAGCCCAGUGCUGGGGCUGUGGGGAGCACUCAGAGCAGUGCCCGUGGGGGUUUGUCAGCUCCUGCUCACCUGGACAUGGCUGGGCAGAGAGGAGGGCUGGCCCUGCCCCUGCUCUGGCCGCUGCUGCUGCUGCUGCUGCUGAGCCUCGCCUGCCUCGCCGUGCUGCACCUGGCUCUGGAAACCACCGCCAUGGGUGUGACAGCAACUGUGUCUCCAGCUCUCCUUACCUCCUCAACACCCAUGGAGAGCUCAACACUGCUGCCUACCACUGACUCCACCACCACAGACACCCUCCUUUCCUCCAGCCCUGAAACAGAAGCCUCCACCCCAGAGGAGUCCAGCACAUCCGCAGAGACUGGCAACACCUCACCUCCCACUGUGCUUCCUCCCACCACAACUACAGAAGAUUCAUCAGAAUCUACAGAAGAGUCCUUGGCAACCCUGGCAGAUACAACAGCCAGCCCUGUCAUCAGCACAUCAAACCCCACGAGCUCUCCCUCUUCAAGCUACCCAGGCAGGACCACUCCUGACAUCUUCCCCUCAACUGUGGAGUUGACUCCAGGCACUGAGCCCUCUUCCCCUGCCACCAGCUCAGCCCAGACCUCAGAGGCUACUACCCUCAGCACGCCUGCAGAGCUGCCAACACUGCCGCCAGUCUGCCCCUCUGGCUCAUCCAACACCAGUAAGUGCAGUGCCUACGGGCAUCUCCACCCCCAGCAUCGGUGCUUGGGGCCAGUGCAGGGGGUCCUGGAGCCCCACUCCUCUUGCUGUGCUCUCAGUGUGGAGGUGCUGAUGCUUUGGGGUACAUGGGGUUUGCUGUGCAGUGAGAGGCUUGUUGUGACAAUGUAGUGUGUCCAUGACACAAUUAACGUGGGAGGAUGUUCCAUGUCUGUGCCAGCAACCCUGGGGAGAGACCCUCAGGUCAUCUGGCCCAGCCCAGGGUUCAAGGGCAAUAACCAGAGUCCUGUUUUUAAUUCCUAGGUGCAUCUUACCUCUUUCUGUCGCUGCGGCUAACCACCCCUCUGGACCUGGGGAACACCACGGUGCAGGAGCUGGUGUUGUCCAAGGUGAGGUGUGCAGGAGGAGAUCCCACUCUGUAUCUGCCAGCUGUGGUUGACCCAGGGAGGGGAAUGGCUGCAUCUUACGUUGAAUGCCAUCCAGAGCUCUUUCAGAUGAAGGGGAGACCCUCCUUUGGCUGCCAUAGUCCAGGAUAAGGCCCUUUCUAUGUGGGGACAGUGGGUUGGAAGCCCCUCUGGCACAGUUUGAUGGCUGUUCUUUGCCCCCAGCUCCGUGAGGACCUGCAGACAGCGUUCCCGUGUGCUGGCCUGUCACUGGCAUGGCGAGGGAAGAGGAGGACCUGACCGCUGCCCCUCGCCUGGCCUGCUCCCACCUGGACUGCCCAGCCACCCGCUCCCAGCUCCUCACUCCAUGGUGGUGCAGGCCCCUGGGGAAUCCCACACAGCUCCUCUUGAACCUGGGCUUCCUGUCCUUCACUCUGUUCCCCCAGUCCCCUCCUGCCCCUUCCCACAGCCUGUCUGAAGAGCCCGUGCCCUCCCACCACCCUGCUCCAGACCUGGUUCCUGUGGUGGGACCCCUCCAGCUCUGCUGCAAGGCUGGAAGAAGGGGACCCCACGGGACUGGGCUUUUGCAUCUGGGACUGAUGGCUCAGCCAUCAAAGCCACCCUGGGGACAGAGAAAUGAGAGGAAGGAGACCUGAAGCCCCCAGUACUGCUGUUCCCAAGGCUCACCUGCAAUAUUGCUGACAGACGAGAACACCUGUGGUGGGCAGUAAAUAGAAAUUCCAUGUUUUCUGUGUUGAAACGAUGACUUCUUUUUUCAGUUUUCCAAG
ensembl:lncRNA